rnacentral:lncRNA from 1 species
UAUGUGGGCUCUUUUUGGUUCCAUAUGAAGUUUAAGGUAUGUUUUUCCAGUUCUGUGAAGAAGGUCAGUGGUAGCUUGAUGGAGAUAGCAUUGAAUCUUUAAAUUACUUUGGGGAGUAUGGCCAUUUUUACGAUAUUGAUUCUUCCUAACCAUGAGCAUGGAACGUUUUUAAACUAACAUUUUUUAAUGCCCCCUGACCAAGACAGUCUUAACAUUCUCCACAUCUUGAUGAAAGUUUAAAUGAGAUUCUUCCUGACUCUAGGCCCCUGACCUCUCUUUUCUUAGAGUGUUUACUUAAAAAAACUUGUAAUCACAAUUUUUUUCUCUAUCUUUUUCAAAUGCAGAAUUUUACAAAUGAGGAGUGUUUUGCCUGUCUUACAACUUAGGGAUGUCUUUCUUAAGAACCUGAGGACUAUCCCACUGAAAGGGUUUUGUAAUAACACUGGAAACAACUGGCUAAUCCAGGAUGAUCACUUCUUCUGAAAAUCCGUAACUCAGUUACAUCUGUCAAGUUCCUUUUGCCAUAUUAGUGGAGCAAUGAGACUCUGAGCAUGGGAAUGAAUCUGAUCUGCAUUUUAAGAAAAUCAAGGAGAGUUGGUAAGAGAUUGUAGAAAGUACAGAAGGCAAUAGUUAAGGAUAGAGUAGAUGAGAAAACAUAGUGAUAAAUAAAUUAUCACUUGGCAGCAGAGAUAUAUCAGACUAUAGUAAUGGAGACAGAUAGGAGUAAAUGAUCUUAACAGAUAGAGGUAGAAUUAAUAAGAGUCAUUGAAGGAUUAGAUCUCGAAGGCUGUGGAAGAAGGCACUUUCAGGAUUGACUUGGUUUCUGAAUUGAGUGAUUCAUUGACAUUU